rnacentral:rRNA from 1 species
UACGGAGGGUGCAAGCGUUAUCCGGAUUUACUGGGUUUAAAGGGUGUGUAGGCGGACUUUUAAGUCAGCGGUGAAAUCUCCGGGCUCAACCCGGAAACUGCCAUUGAUACUAUUAGUCUUGAAUAUUGUUGAGGUAGGCGGAACGGUCAUGUAGCGGUGAAAUGCAUAGAUAUGACCCGGAACACCAAUUGCGAAGGCAGCUCGU